rnacentral:rRNA from 1 species
AGCGAACGCUGGCGGCAGGCCUAACACAUGCAAGUCGAACGAAGUCUUCGGACUUAGUGGCGGACGGGUGAGUAACACGUGGGAACGUGCCUUUAGGUUCGGAAUAACACAGGGAAACUUGUGCUAAUACCGAAUGUGCCCUUCGGGGGAAAGAUUUAUCACCUUUAGAGCGGCCCGCGUCUGAUUAGCUAGUUGGUGAGGUAAAGGCUCACCAAGGCUACGAUCAGUAGCUGGUCUGAGAGGAUGACCAGCCACAUUGGGACUGAGACACGGCCCAAACUCCUACGGGAGGCAGCAGUGGGGAAUCUUGCGCAAUGGGCGAAAGCCUGACGCAGCCAUGCCGCGUGGAUGAUGAAGGUCUUAGGAUUGUAAAAUCCUUUCACCGGUGAAGAUAAUGACUGUAGCCGGAGAAGAAGCCCCGGCUAACUUCGUGCCAGCCGCCGCCGUAAAAC